rnacentral:rRNA from 1 species
AACGAACGCUAGCUACAGGCUCAACACAUGCAAGUCGAGGGGAAACGAUAGAGAAAGCUUGCUUUUUCUAGGCGUCGACCGGCGCACGGGUGAGUAACGCGUAUCCAACCUGCCCACCACUUGGGGAUAACCUUGCGAAAGUAAGACUAAUACCCAAUGACGUCCAUAGAAGACAUCUGAAAUGGAUUAAAGAUUUAUCGGUGAUGGAUGGGGAUGCGUCUGAUUAGCUUGUUGGCGGGGUAACGGCCCACCAAGGCGACGAUCAGUAGGGGUUCUGAGAGGAAGGUCCCCCACAUUGGAACUGAGACACGGUCCAAACUCCUACGGGAGGCAGCAGUGAGGAAUAUUGGUCAAUGGGCGAGAGCCUGAACCAGCCAAGUAGCGUGCAGGAUGACGGCCCUAUGGGUUGUAAACUGCUUUUAUAAGGGAAUAAAGUGGGAGUCGUGACUCCUUUUGCAUGUACCUUAUGAAUAAGGACCGGCUAAUUCCGUGCCAGCAGCCGCAGUAACAC